UGCUGGCGGCACCACCUUAAGCCCCUCUGAGGGUCCAGGACCAAACUUAGAAACUGGCUGUUUUUCCUUUAACCUUACCUGUUCACGUCCUAAUGGCCUGUUGCUUAAGCCAGAGUGGUCACUGAUGAGUUUAAAGCGCCAUCUGGAGGUCUUUCUGGGUAGUACUAUGGCUGGAGUCCAGCCCACACAACCUGGAAAAGCCAUGGUAGACAAGGAAGUCCAGCUAGGCGUGGAAGUGGAUGGACAAGGGACGAUUCCCCUUUCUGGCAGCUGCUGCUCCAGCCAAGGCAUGCCAAUGGAGGUGAAUACCACCGGAUUUCCUCUCCCAGAAUCCUCGGCUUCUCCUGUUGUUCUCUACACCUUCCAAGUCACGAAACCUUGCCCAGACCUCCCGGUGAGCUGCCACCGGAUCAGAGUGAUGGAUCAAAGCUGUUCGCCUAGCAACGGAAGCGCCACACAGCCGCUGGAGAGGAGGCUUUUCUGCCAGGCUGCGUCUUGAACAAACACAACAGAGGCCGAGUGAGAAGUAGCUACAGUUUAAUACAAACCUGCACCAGAACACAAUGUGUUAAGCUGUUUGGUUUUUUUUGCCUCAAACCGUGGCCAAAGCACAGGCCCAUGUGUCAUCUUGGGAUGGACACGGUCUUAGCACCAUGACAUUGACAGAGGAGGGAGGAAGUCCCUUGGGUGCUGGGGUGCCGCUGACAGCUCCGUUCUGACCCCAGGCUGUGCCCACCACCUCAGCAGCUGGAGGGGGUUUGGCUUCGGGGUGGUCAAUAUAAGGAGAUGCCCUCAUCAUGGCAUUGGCUUGACAAGAGACCUACUGUGGACUCCUAGCACGACACACACGCCCACGCACACGCGCGCACACACACACAGUAGCACAAUUUUCUGGUGAGUUAACCC